CGGGCUAUGAGGAGCGGACAGAGAGGCACACGGAAGUCGACCUCGCAAAAUCCCAGGACUAUCGAGUCGUUCGAGCGGAACAACGACGUAUUUCGACGUCGUGCUGAGGCCCACCGAUGCACCGCGGCGCGUCUUAUGCAGCGACGGUAGCCCGCGCUCCUCCACCGGACGUAAUUUAGUAAAUACCCGUUCGCCUCUACGAGCCUGUAUUACGCACGUACACGAGGCCAAGCUGGCUCCAUAAAGCGCGAUGGACCCCACCCGAUGCGAGAGGCUCGAUCGAGCGUGUCCUGGCAUUAUUGCGAUCGUCGUGCCACGACGGACACGAUGCCCUCGCU
rnacentral:misc_RNA from 1 species